GACGAACGCUGGCGGCGUACUUAACACAUGCAAGUCGAGCGAGGCCCCUCCUUCGGGAGGGUGUCCUAGCGGCGAACGGGUGAGUAACACGUGGGCAACCUGCCCUCAGCUCUGGGAUAACUCCGGGAAACCGGGGCUAAUACCGGAUACGACCUCCACGGGCAUCUGCGGAGGUGGAAAGUUUUUCGGCUGAGGAUGGGCCCGCGGCCUAUCAGCUAGUUGGUAGGGUAGUGGCCCACCAAGGCGACGACGGGUAGCCGGCCUGAGAGGGCGACCGGCCACACUGGGACUGAGACACGGCCCAGACUCCUACGGGAGGCAGCAGUGGGGAAUAUUGCGCAAUGGGCGAAAGCCUGACGCAGCGACGCCGCGUGAGGGACGAAGGCCUUCGGGUUGUAAACCUCUUUCAGCAGGGACGAAGCGAAAGUGACGGUACCUGCAGAAGAAGCACCGGCCAACUACGUG
rnacentral:rRNA from 1 species